GCCUGCCGAGGAGGCCGGUGGUGUGGUGGUGGUGGAGGAUGAGGGGUCCCCUUUCCCCUCCGAAUGCACUGGCACCCUCACCCCCGCCCAAGCGCCACUGUAAACACUCCACAGAGCGCAGUGCCCAACCCAACCCCUGUUUGCUCAGCGAGGCGCUGGCCAGGCAAACACACACCACUGAGUCACAGACAGAGUGAGCCCCGGCCCACCACGGCCGGCCACGCAGCCCGAGUGCAGAACACACGCCGCAGGUCUCUCCUCCGCCCCGCGCCGCCGCCACGAGCCGCGGACGCGCUGGGUCUCAGGGGCAGACAGGGGCGCUGGCGAACCAGGACAGGGGAGGGCGCACGGGUGGGCACUCCGCUGGCGCUCAGUCUAUCGGGGGAUUUGUGCGCUUUUAUUAAUGGGGUCACACGCAAGCCGAAGCACGACUAGACACACACAGUGUCCCGUGAUGACUUGGACGGGCGAGAAACAGAUCUUGGGCUCCGCCGGCCCCUGGCACUGGAGCUGGUUGCGCGACAACGCGCACGCGCGCCGACUCCGACUCCUCCCCCUCCGCCGGCUUCCCAGGCUCCGCCCCUCCAGCGGCUAUUCUCGGGACCCCAGCGAUCCCCGCGGCCCCGCCUCUCCCUGCCGUCACCUCUGAUUGGACGCCGGCCCGCAUUGACUCCGCCCCCCCAAGGUCCUGGGCCCGCCUCCCUGCGAGUCAGGGCGCCGGGGGGCGGGGCGUCGGCGCGCUAUUGUCAUGGAGACGGGAAGCCGGUGGCAGCGGCGGCGGCGGCCCGGCCCGCGGCGCAGAGGUGGCCGCGAGCCAGCCGGGGCCGAGCGAGGCCGCGCGGCCGGCCGGACCGCCGGACGGGAAGGGAGCGCGGGCCCGGCCAGCGGCGGCCGCCGGGCAGCCAAGGCGCGGGGGUCCUCCUGGGCGCGGCGGGGCCGGGGUGCUCGCAGCGUCCCCGCCCCGUUCCCUUCGCUGCUCCCGCCUCUCGCGGCCCCGCCGCCGCGCAGCGCCCCGCCCCCGCCCCCGGCUCCGCCCGCCGCCAGCUCAGCCCCUCGCGGUGCUAACGGUCGGGAGCGGCCCUGCCUAGCGGCCCGCGCGCGCCGCCCGCCGGGGGCUCCCGGCGGCCACGAGGGAGCGUCCGCGGCCCGCGCUCCCGCGACGAGACUCUGAGAAUCCGCAGUUCCUAAUGGAGCGGCCGCCCUGACGACUGGAAGGAGGAGAUGCUGAAGAUUGGGAGGAGCCUUCCUAUUCAAAAUACCUUUUAGACUCAACGCAUAAAAAUAGCAGGCCGAGUCCGCCUGCGGGCUGUGGAAGCUGGGGAAGACUUGCUUUUCCGCAGGAAGACCCUGAGUCCCAGGAAGAUGAAAUGACUUGCUAAUACGUGAUAACGAGGAUCUUUUGACUCCAAAGCACCUGCUGCCAACUUGAAGAGCAAAAUAAGAGGAUUAUUUAUACCGUAAGCUCAAAAGAUCUGUUCAGAGAUUUCAGGCUGUGAGGCCAUUUGGGUCCUAAAGCAUCUUGACCCAACGGGGAAACCUACGAAGAGGUGUGCGCAUGCUCCCUCUGUCUCCCUCUCUGGCUUGAGGAGUUGUGAGUGACAUUGUGUGGGUAGUGGAGUGUGUGGGAUGAGGGGAGAUGGAAUGGCGAAUACCCACUUGUAGGGAGUUGCCCUCUACCAAGGAUUUGCCGGCAUGCUGACGGGAACGUGGGCCGGCCCUGUCAGUGGAGGGUGAGACAAUGGGAUGUGACUCAGUAACGAGCUCUCAUUUGUCAGGAGUCAGCUUGCUGAUAUGGGCUAAGGAUAAGGUGUUCGGUAAUUCUUACAAAAAUUGGACGUAACCACAUCAUUUCCACUGUGGUUUCUCUCACAGUUUCUUUCAUAGCUGUGUUAAUUCCACCCAAUUGUACGAGGGAGCCUGAAAUGCAUAGCAUCGUUUCUGUUUUAUUAGGUGAGUAAGUACAUCCUGAGACGUGAGAUGGCCAUGUCCAAGGUCACGGCAGCUACUGUGACCUUGAACCCAAGUCCUCACUCUGGACUUAUCUUCCUCUCCCCUCACCCUCCAUGAAGCUCAGCAGCCUGUUUGUUGUACAGAAUCCAUUUAUGUUGACUACUAACUGUCUUUGCCCACAUGCUAGACUCUUAAGAAUUUGUAUCUAUAAGAUAAUUUACUAAUGGGUCGCAGUGGCUAAAAGAGGCAGCCUGUUUUGUAAAUUAAGCCUUUUGUCCCCUUUUUGUCCAACAGGAAGCGGAGUUGGUCACUCGGAUGGAUGCACAGACUCUCCUGACGUCAGUGAGGCAGCCUCCACGCUCUGGAUUAACAGACUCCGAGUCUUCCAGACGCUAGUUGUCCAGAGGAGGCCAGGGCUCCUGCGGAAGCUCCAGGUUGUACCUGUUUCAACCAGCCCCUCCAGGAGAGUCCGACUCCACUCAGCAGGAGGUGCUGCCUGGGCUGGAUGCUGCUGCCUCUGACGCAUGUGCUCACAGUCUUCGUUUUGAAUGGAGAGAAGGGGAAAUAUGGCUUCCUCCUGUAGCUGCAGAGGAAACCUGCCCAAUUCCCAUCAAGCCACGGGGCGCUGGGGGUUCUUCUUAUCGCUGCAGAGCCC